GGGGAUGUAGCUCAGUGGUAGAGCGCACGCUUUGCAUGUGUGAGGCCCCCGGGUUCAAUCCCCGGCAUUUCCA
rfam:Lingula anatina scaffold199, whole genome shotgun sequence.